AUGAACCCUUUUUAGGCACCAGCCAAAGUAGAGGGGACUCGCCCCUCCAGGCGGGAGACUCCUCCCAACUGGAUGUUGGCAAAACUUGUAUUCCUCUGAAGCCAAGAGAGAGGGGACUUACACCUCCAGUCCGAAGACCCCUCCCACCUGUGUUUUGGAGGAGCUUGUAUACCGCCUUAGCUAGGGUGGAGGGGACUUGUCCCUCCAGGCAUGAGACCCUCUCAUCUGGGUAUUGAGGGGGGAUAUCAUGACCCCCACAGCCAGGAUAGCGGGGACUCGAGCCACUAGAAGGGAGACCCCUCACACAUGGUUGUCAGGAGAGCUCAUAUGCCACCCCAGACAGGGUAGAGGGGAUUUGCCACUACAGGAGGGAGACACCAUCCACCUGGGUGUACAGGGAACCUUGUGUACUGUCGCAGCCAGGGUAGAGGGGAUAGCCUCUCCAAGCCGGUUACCCCUCCCACCUGGGUGUCAGGAAGAGCUCAUAUACCACCACCGCCAGGAAAGUGGGGACUACAGGUCGGUAAACCCUCCCACCUGGGUGUUGGGGGGAGCUCGAAUAACACCGUAGUCAGGAUACAGGGGACUUGCCUCUACAGGUGGGAGACCCCUCCCACCUGGGUGUCAUGGGGAGCUCCUAUACUGCCACAGCCAGGGUAGAGGGGUUUGCCUGUUUAGGCAGGAGACCCUUCAACCUGGGUGUUCCUGCAGCACUUAUAGGGCACCAGCCAGGGUAGAGGGGACUCGCAACUCCAGCGGGAGACCCCUCUCACCUGAGUGUACGGGGGGCUUUCAUACCACCUUAGCAAAUGUAGAGGUGACUUGCCCCUCCAGGUGAAAGUCUCCUUCCACCUAGGCGUCUGGGAGAGCAUGUAUACAGCAGCAGCCAGGGUAGAGGGGACUCUCCCCUCCAACCAGGACACCCCUACCACCAGAAUGUCAUGGGAGCUCCUUUACUGCCACAGCCAGGGUAGAGUGGAUUAUCCCCUCCAAGCCGGAGACCUCUCCCACCUAGGUGUAGGGUGGGGAGUCUCUUAUACCUCCCAAGCCAGAGUAGAGGGGACUCGCCCCUCCAUGCGGGAGACCCCUCCAAGUUGGGUAUCUGGGGUAGCUCAUACAUCACCGAAUCCAAGGUAGAGGCGACUCGCCCCUCCAGGCGGGAGACCGCUCCCAACUGAUUGUGGAGGGGAGCUCAUAUACCAC
rnacentral:lncRNA from 1 species